rnacentral:rRNA from 1 species
GACGAACGCUGGCGGCGUGCUUAACACAUGCAAGUCGAACGGAAAGGCCCUGCUUUUGUGGGGUGCUCGAGUGGCGAACGGGUGAGUAACACGUGAGUAACCUGCCCUUGACUUUGGGAUAACUUCAGGAAACUGGGGCUAAUACCGGAUAUGAGCUCCUGCUGCAUGGUGGGGGUUGGAAAGUUUCGGCGGUUGGGGAUGGACUCGCGGCUUAUCAGCUUGUUGGUGGGGUAGUGGCUUACCAAGGCUUUGACGGGUAGCCGGCCUGAGAGGGGGACCGGCGACAUUGGGACUGAGAUACGGCCCAGACUCCUACGGGAGGCAGCAGUGGGGAAUAUUGCACAAUGGGCGGAAGCCUGAUGCAGCAACGCCGCGUGCGGGAUGACGGCCUUCGGGUUGUAAACCGCUUUCGCCUGUGACGAAGCGUGAGUGACGGUAAUGGGUAAAGAAGCACCGGCUAACUACGUG